GUGCCAGCCGCCGCGGUAAGACGUAGGGCGCGAGCGUUGUCCGGAUUGAUUGGGCGUAAAGAGCUCGUAGGCGGCUCGUUGCGUCGGCUGUGAAAACCCGCAGCUCAACUGUGGGCCUGCAGCUGAUACGGGCGGGCUGGAGUUCGGUAGGGGAGACUGGAAUUCCUGGUGUAGCGGUGAAAUGCGCAGAUAUCAGGAGGAACACCGGUGGCGAAGGCGGGUCUCUGGGCCGAUACUGACGCUGAGGAGCGAAAGCGUGGGGAGCGAACAGGAUUAGAAACCCGUGUAGUCC
rnacentral:rRNA from 1 species